rnacentral:misc_RNA from 1 species
GAUGAAGAACGUAGCGAAAUGCGAUAAGUAAUGGGAAUUGCAGAAUUCAGUGAAUCAUCGAAUCUUUGAACGCACAUUGCGCCCGUCAGUAUUCUGGCGGGCAUGCCUGUUCGAGCGUCAUUACGCCCCUCAAGUCCCCUGUGGACUUGGUGUUGGGGAUCGGCGAGGCUGGUUUUCCAGCACAGCCGUCCCUUAAAUUAAUUGGCGGUCUCGCCGUGGCCCUCCUCUGCGCAGUAGUAAAACACUCGCAACAGGAGCCCGGCGCGGUCCACUGCCGUAAAACCCCCCAACUUUUUAUAGUUGACCUCGAAUCAGGUAGGACUACCCGCUGAACUUAAGCAUAUCAAUAAGCGGAGGA